rnacentral:rRNA from 1 species
AUGAGAGAGAUUGUCAUGUCUCUGGGCCCUACCUACGUCAAGCUCAGCCAGGCGCCGAGCAUCCGACCCGAUAUUCUGCCCCCUGCGGCGAUGACCAAGCUUCAGAAGCUAUGUGACAAGGUUCCUUCGUUCCCUAACGAUAUCACGAUGGCUCUCCUGGAAGAAGAGAAUUGUCUCCCUCCCGAUUGCUGCAGGUUGCGGAUUGGUGCUGUUGGCCUCAACAGGGCACCUUGCACUACCCGUGUAAGUGCGUUUGAGAAGGCAGUGAGGUUGUUCACGGAAAAGCCGACGGAUAAUGUAAUCACUCUAGUGCUGGAAACGGUGAGGAUCACAAGGUGA